AUGCAGUUUCAGCCAUCGGGCUGCCAUGUGGAGAUUGGUACGGGAGUUAGCAACGCUAGCGUGGAGAGUGUACAAGCAAUCAAGGCUAUCAUGUUUGCAAUGAAUGAAUCCGAGUCGCUGCAUGUUCAUGACAAUUUUUUCAUCGCCACUGUCAUCCCUGAACACAUGAUCUCUGGAUUUGGGACAAAUCUUGAUUGGAAACAUCUAAAACAUUGUCAUGUGGUGAGGUGCUCCAAGGUGCACACAGUCUUCAUGACUAACUAUGAUGGCUGGCCCUUCACAGAAAUAGAGACCUUUUGGGCGGCUGAUCUACCAAUGUCACACUGCAUUUGGAGCAAAGGAAGGACCUACGGUGGCAGCGCAACUAGGUGCUUUGCCAAACUGUGGAGCAUACGCCUAUACUCUUGCCCAAGGCUCGAAUUUGUGCUUCCGUUAUUGUGGGGUAUUCAAGGAUCAUACUUGCACAAUUUAGAAAGUCUCCACAUUGUCAACUGUGGUGAUCUAAAGACGGUGUUCCCUGUUCAUCCUGGCCUCAAAAAACAUGUACUCGAGUUCCCAAGGCUGAAGCACAUCCAUCUGUAUGAGCUCUAUAAGCUGCAGCAUAUAUGUGAGGUGAAGAUGCAUGCGCCCAAGCUUGAGAGGGUAUGGCUGAGGGGCUGCUGGGGCCUCAGGCGCCUCCCCGCCGUCAACCAAGGUAGCCGUCGCCCCGUCGUGGACUGCGAGCAGGACUGGUGGGAGAAGCUGGAGUGGGACGGGCUGGAGGCUGGGCACGACCCUUGCCUCUUCGAGCCAUGCCACUCGUCGCAUUACAAGAAGCCCUUGCCCAGAGUUUCAGUGCUUCGGUGA
rnacentral:rRNA from 1 species